rnacentral:rRNA from 1 species
GACGAACGCUGGCGGCGUGCUUAACACAUGCAAGUCGAACGGAAAGGCCCUGCUUUUGUGGGGUGCUCGAGUGGCGAACGGGUGAGUAACACGUGAGUAACCUGCCCUUGACUUUGGGAUAACUUCAGGAAACUGGGGCUAAUACCGGAUAGGAGCUCCUGCUGCAUGGUGGGGGUUGGAAAGUUUCGGCGGUUGGGGAUGGACUCGCGGCUUAUCAGCUUGUUGGUGGGGUAGUGGCUUACCAAGGCUUUGACGGGUAGCCGGCCUGAGAGGGUGACCGGCCACAUUGGGACUGAGAUACGGCCCAGACUCCUACGGGAGGCAGCGGUGGGGAAUAUUGCACAAUGGGCGGAAGCCUGAUGCAGCAACGCCGCGUGCGGGAUGACGGCCUUCGGGUUGUAAACCGCUUUCGCCUGUGACGAAGCGUGAGUGACGGUAAUGGGUAAAGAAGCACCGGCCAACUACGUG